GUCCUUCUCUUCUCGAUUCUCUCUUCCAACGAUCUUUAGAAGACUUAAUCAAAGGUCUCCGUCUCUUCGUCGGCGAUGAAUCAUCCUUCAUCUCCAAAGCCGUCGACGAGAUCCGCCGUGAAAUCAAGUCCACCGAUCAACAGACUAAAGCCACUGCCCUUCAGAAACUCACUUACUUGCAUUCCAUCCAUGGCGUCGACAUGUCUUGGGCUGCUUUUCAUGCUAUAGAACUCUCUUCAUCUCAGUCCUUCAAUU
rnacentral:misc_RNA from 1 species